rnacentral:rRNA from 1 species
UUAAAUUGAAGAGUUUGAUCAUGGCUCAGAUUGAACGCUGGCGGCAGGCCUAACACAUGCAAGUCGAACGGUAACAGGAAACAGCUUGCUGUUUUGCUGACGAGUGGCGGACGGG